AUCCCUAUCCAUGGGUAAGAAAGGGAAAGAACGGUUGUGAUAAACGGGGAUCCCUUUGAUGGGUCUCAAGGCUUCGUUUAUGUGGUUCAUGUUAGUUGGCAGUGAUGGUGGCGGUGGCGGUGGUUCUCGUCUUCCAAGAGAGAGGUCGGUGUGAUGUCCUCCGGCAUAGCUGGUGGUGGUUGGAGGGCUUAUGUGAAGGGAAAGAUCAGGAACACAAGAAGUAGAAGCAGAAGCAGAAGCAGAAGUAAAAACCCCUUCCAAGGGCAUCUUAAUUCUUUAGAACAACUUUAUGGUGACAGAAAUAAACAAGAGAUGAGGAAAAAUGAAAUUAAAGAUUUGCUUUUAGUUUAGUAGGCUUUUCCCGGAAAAAGAAUAAUCUGGAAAGCAAGGGUAGCUAGGUAGAAGAGAAAGAAAAGAGACGAUGAUGGAUUUGAGUUUUGUUUUCCUCGAGACGAGUAUUUCUCGGAAAAUGACACUAGCUAGCAGCUACCUAGCCAUCAUACAUACACUCACAUUUUUAUAAAUCCAUCAAUCCUCUCCUCUACUCUAUUCUUUUCUAUUCAUAUACAUUCUUUUCAUUUCUUUUAAUGCUCUUGCUUUAAACAAAAACUAAAAUAAAUUAAAGAGAAAGUCUAGAGAGUCAGCAACUUUUGUGUUUUGUGUCCAGCGCUUAACUAUUAAAAGAAAAGUAAGUAAUCUCCCACUAUUAAAUGUAAUCUCACACCAUUAAUAAAAAUAUUAUUGAUGGCCAAUUGAUAAUUAUAAAACACAAUUUAUCCUUCUAUUAAACUUUUUAUCAGCCUACUUUUCACCGAUUACAAUGAAGGAAAUGUACCAUUAUGAAAUUCGAUCAUGUUAAAAAAAAUUUAAAAAAAAAAGUCAGAAUUUAUUUUAUUUAAAUUUUUUUUGUUAUUAAACACUUUUGUAUAAAAUUAUACUAUUCAAUUUACGAAUCUAUUCAUUAAUUUAAAUAAUCUAAAAAGUCACCAAUACAAAAUAUUCAUUUUUAAUUUAUUAAAAUUUGUGAUAUUUUAUUUUAAUUCAUGUAAAAAAUUUUCAAAAAAAUGUAAAAUUUUACAGUUCAAAAAUCUAAUUUUAGUUGGUUUUCAUUUGACAAAGGCAUAAAAGGUUUAAGCUAUCUUAACAUACAUCAUAAAGUACUCCAAUAUAUGGGUGUUAUCGGUUUGAUUUUGGACCAAAAACUAAUCGAACCGAUAUGUUUGGUUCUUACAAUACAUAACCGUUCGGUUUGUUGUUUUUACAAUAACCGAAUCGAACAGAACCGAACCAAUAACGGUUUGGUAAAGUCGGUUUUUUCGGUUUUUAAUUCCUAAUGAAAAGAAUAUAAAUAACAAUAAUUAGAGGUUUAAAAUAGUCAAUAAAUUAAAAUAAUAAGAGUAAAACAUUGAAAUGGUUAGGGAUUAAAGAUUUUUGUUGUUAUGUUAAAGGUUAAAAUGGUUAAAAUAUUAAAAUGUAUGUAUAUAUUCAGUUCGAUUUUUAUUAAAUCAGCCAAAAAUCGAACCGAACCGAUCGAUUUUAUAAAAAAAAAACAAAAAAAAUCGAUUUUUUCGAUUUUUAAGUCGGUUGUUAUAAUUUUCGGUUCGAUUUUGCGGUAAUUUUCGGUUCGGUUCGGUAACUUACACCCCUACUCCAAUAUAUAUAUAUAAUUUGGUAAAUACUCAUAAAUACAUGAUGAUUAAUUUUUAGUAUAUAUAUAGAAUAAUUUUACCAAACAAAAGAGUAAUUCUUCGCUAAAGAAGAAGUAGCGUGGCAUUUUUGUUUGAAAUUGGUAUGAAAAUUAAGUAAUAAAAAAUGAGAUUGGUUGAAUGAAGAAUGCGAAUUACCCGAAGAAGCUGCAGGCUUGUCAGUAGUCUUAACAGUUCGAUACAUCUGUGUUGAAGAAGAAAAAGAAGAAGCCAUAAAAUUAGCAGUAACCCAGAUUGAAGUCGUAUAUAUUAGAGAAAUUACACAAAGUGGUGAAUGAUGAGUCCGAUUUAGAUCCGUUUGGGUUUGAUGUCAUUAAUGAUGAGGUUGAAGAGAAGCUAGCUUUGUAUUAUUACAAUAUGAUGAGUUUACUUUAUUGUCCCUUUUUCUUUUGAAAGAAACUAUACCUGCAAAUGGCUUUUGACAUGGGCUAAUGUGAGAUCUUUGACAUCCAUCAACUCAAGUACGGACUUGGGUGUUGCUCCUAAAAUUCACCAUCUAUCUAACAUUAGCACCCCAAUUUCAAAUUACCUCCCACCAUAUAUCAAAUUAAAUUAAAUUAAAUUAAAUUAUUACUUUCAUGGCCACCAAGAAGCUCAACGGCGUGAACAAAUCGAGCAUGGAGGGUGCUAGUCCACCGCAUCCUGGGCGCCCUCAUGCUCCUCUUGCUUGGCAGCUUAGACAAGAACCUUGACCCGUAGUGGUGGUGCAAUGGAUGAUGCUGAUGGCUUGGGAUCCCAUUAUUGAACCUACUUGUGGCAGCAGCCACCGCCGCAACCCUAUUAUUAUAAGGCCCUCCUGCUCCCCCGGAAUUCAAGAAGGAAAUGGGAUCUAAACCCACUCCCACUGGGAAAGGAGAAGAAGAUGCAGGCAUGUGAUGAUAUAAGCACAUCUUGGGAUUUGGAUUAUUGUGAUCCCUAUCCAUGGGUAAGAAAGGGAAAGAACGGUUGUGAUAAACGGGGAUCCCUUUGAUGGGUCUCAAGGCUUCGUUUAUGUGGUUCAUGUUAGUUGGCAGUGAUGGUGGCGGUGGCGGUGGUUCUCGUCUUCCAAGAGAGAGGUCGGUGUGAUGUCCUCCGGCAUAGCUGGUGGUGGUUGGAGGGCUUAUGUGAAGGGAAAGAUCAGGAACACAAGAAGUAGAAGCAGAAGCAGAAGCAGAAGUAAAAACCCCUUCCAAGGGCAUCUUAAUUCUUUAGAACAACUUUA
rnacentral:lncRNA from 1 species